UACGGAGGGUGCAAGCGUUAAUCGGAUUUAUUGGGCGUAAAGGGCGCGUAGGCGGGCAAGAAAGUCAGAUGUGAAAUUCCGGAGCUUAACUUCGGAGCUGCAUUUGAAACUUCAUGUCUUGAGGGUAGGCGGAGAAAACGGAAUUCCACAAGUAGCGGUGAAAUGCGUAGAUAUGUGGAGGAACACCCGUGGCGUAGGCGGUUUUCUAGCUUAUACCUGACGCUGAGGCGCGAAAGCAAGGGGAGCAAACAGG
rnacentral:rRNA from 1 species